UCCAGGAACAGUGUCCAGUGGCUGUCGAGAAGACAUCAGGAGGAGGAAGACCCAAGGAGAACAAGGGGAACAGAACCAACCAGGCUUUACAGGUCUUCUACAUUAAGUCCAUUGAGCCACAGAAAGUAUCGACAUUAGGGAAAAGCAACGUGAUAGUAACGGGAGCAAACUUUACCCGGGCAUCGAACAUCACAAUGAUCCUGAAAGGAACCAG
rnacentral:lncRNA from 1 species